rnacentral:rRNA from 1 species
UACAGAGGGUGCGAGCGUUGUCCGGAAUCACUGGGCGUAAAGGGCGCGUAGGCGGUUGCCUAAGCGUGUGGUGAAAGCCCGGGGCUCAACCCCGGGUCGGCCAUGCGAACUGGGCGACUGGAGCCGAUCAGAGGCAGGCGGAAUUCCGGGUGUAGCGGUGGAAUGCGUAGAGAUCCGGAAGAACACCGGUGGCGAAGGCGGCCUGCUGGGAUCGAGCUGACGCUGAGGCGCGA